rnacentral:lncRNA from 10 species
CAGAGUUUAGGGACCUGGCCCUCACACCUCCCCAAGCUCUCCAAGAAAGAUGAGGCAGAGGGAUCUGGGGGCUGUUUGUCCUUUAUCUUCAUCCCUGGGGAUAUGGAGGCCCUCUCCCAGGUCAAGGCCAGAGGGUAGGCCUGGGCCCCCAUGCUUCUCCUCCACUCAGAUGCCCCACACGCCCCUACCUCUCCUGUUCUGCUCCCCAGCCACUGCCUUGGCCUCCUCCACUCAUGCACUGGAACCAGCCUGCUCAUGAUUGACCCCUACUCCUUGCUAACUAUGCCUCAGUUUCCCC